GGAACCGCCCUGGCGGCGAAGCGCAGCGGCCGAGGGCGGCGGAGCUCAGGGGCCGCCCCCCCGGGACCGGCGCUGCCGCACAGCGGCCUCAGCACCGACACCGAAAACGCCGAUUUGGACCCAGCACGAAACAUGACACAGAGAAACUUACAACCACAGGAUGCUGGAGAGGCCAAGAGUGUAAACAGUCCUUUAUGGGAUUGGAUAAAUUCAUGGAAGAUACACUCACUGACACUGAUCACUGAUCUGAAGACAACAUCCAACUCCUACAUGAGACAACUCUAAGAUGUGGAUCCCAGAUAGAAAUGGAAGUUGUGGCGAAUUGUCAGAACUUCUCCACAGAUAUAACCAUGGACUUGCAUUCAUGCCUUAGCUUCUCCAUCCUGCAGGCUGCCUACAGCAACUGUGUCUUAAUUCUCAGGACAGAAACUUGGGCAAUUUGUGCUGUGAACUUGGGGGUACCAGAGACAGGAUAAAUACAGCCAGUAUUUUCUACUGGGUAGCUUGAAGCAGCUYAUACCAGUGUCUCUCUCAGACAUUUUGAAGUACCAUGGCUUAAGCACCACUUCUUACCUCAAU